UCAAGCUAUAAAGAGCAUAGGGUGGAUGCCUUGGCACCAAGAGCCGAAGAAGGACGUGGUCAGCUGCGAUAAGCCAUGGUCAGCCGCAAGCAGGCAAUGACCCAUGGAUUUCCGAAUGCGGAAACGCGGCACGUUAACAGCGUGUCAUCAUGUCAUGAAUAAAUAGUGACAUGAGGGGAACCCGGUGAACUGAAACAUCUAAGUAGCCGGAGGAAGAGAAAGAAACAUCGAUUUCCUUAGUAGCGGCGAGCGAAAGGGAAAGAGCCCAAACCGAGGGUCUACGGACGUUCGGGGUUCGGACUUGCAAAAAUCGAAGUACUUAUAGACGAAGAGGUUUGGAACUUCCUACCAAAGAGGGUAACAGUCCCGUAGUCGAAAUGAGUACAAGAGGGCGAGAAUCCAGAGUACCACAGGACACGAGUAAUCCGGUGGGAAGACGGGGGGCCCACCCCCCAAGGCUAAAUACUACUUGGUGACCGAUAGCGUAUAGUACCGUGAGGGAAAGGUGAAAAGAACCCCGGGAGGGGAGUGAAAGAGUACCUGAAACCCUAUGUUUACAAGCAGUGGGAGCGAGAGCGACCAUGUACUUUUUGUAGAACGGGCCGGCGAGUUACUGUGUGCAGCGAGGUUAAGUUGUUAAGCAACGGAGCCGAAGGGAUACCGAGUCUGAAAAGGGCGUAAAGUUGCAUGCAGUACACCCGAAACCGGGUGACCUAUCCAUGGACAGGAUGAAGCGACGGUAAGACGUCGUGGAGGUCCGAACCACACGUACGUGAAAAGUGCGGGGAUGAGCUGUGGAUAGCGGAGAAAUUCCAAUCGAACUCGGAGAUAGCUGGUUCUCCCCGAAAUAGCUUUAGGGCUAGCCUCGAUUUAGAUUACCGGGGGUAGAGCACUGAAUGGGCUAGGGGGCCACAAAGCUUACCGAACCCUAUCAAACUUCGAAUACCGGAUAAUUGAUGAUCGGGAGUCAGACAGUGUGAGAUAAGUUUCAUUGUCGAAAGGGAAACAGCCCAGAUCUACGACUAAGGUCCCAAAGUUCAAGUUAAGUGGAAAAGGAUGUGCAAUUGCGUAGACAACCAGGAUGUUGGCUUAGUAGCAGCCAUUCAUUCAAAGAGUGCGUAAUAGCUCACUGGUCGAGUGAUUGUGCGCCGAAAAUGUAACGGGGCUAAACUUGACACCGAAGUCUAGGCAGAAGGAAACUUCUGGGUAGGGGAGCAACGUGUACGGGCAGAAGCAGAAGCGGAAGCGACUGUGGACUGUACAGGAGAGAGAAUGCCGGCAUGAGUAGCGAGAGCAAAGUGAGAAUCUUUGCCGUCGAAAGCCUAAGGUUUCCUGAGGAAGGCUCGUCCUCUCAGGGUAAGUCGGGACCUAAGCCGAGGACAAUAGUCGUAGGCGAUGGACAAUCGGUUAAUAUUCCGAUACCGCCGAGCAACCGGAUGCAGUGACACAGAAGGAUAGGCAGAGCGUGGCGAUGGUAGACCACGUCCAAGCAGUGAGGCUGUUGUGUAGUGAAGUACGCACAACGGAAGGCUGGGCUGUGAUGGGGAACGAUUACGAUCGGUAAGCUGCUGAAUUCACGCUGGCGAGAAAAGCUGCUACGAAGCGAAGGCGCCCGUACCGCAAACCGACACAGGUAGGCGAGGAGAGAAUCCUAAGACGAGCGGGAGAACCCUUGUUAAGGAACUCGGCAAAAUGACUCCGUAACUUAGGGAGAAGGAGUGCCCAGGAAUGGGCCGCAGAGAAUAGACCCAAGCGACUGUUUACCAAAAACACAGGUCUGUGCGAAGUAGAGAUACGACGUAUACGGGCUGACACCUGCCCAGUGCCGGAAGGUUAAGGGGAAAUGUUAGGGCAACCGAAGCAUGGAACUUAAGCCCCGGUGAACGGCGGCCGUAACUAUAACGGUCCUAAGGUAGCGAAAUUCCUUGUCGGGUAAGUUCCGACCCGCACGAAUGGUGUAACGAUUUGGGUACUGUCUCAACAAGGGACCCGGCGAAAUUGUAGUAUGUGUGAAGAUGCACAUUACCCGCGAUAGGACGGAAAGACCCCGUAGAGCUUUACUGUAGUUUAACAUUGGAUUCCGGUAACAUAUGCACAGGAUAGGUGGGAGGCGGAGAAGCAGUGAUUUCGGUUGCUGCAGAGCCGACGUUGGGAUACCACUCUUGUGUUACUGGGGUUCUAACCUGUGGCCGUGAUCCGGCACAGGAACAGUGUUAGAUGGGCAGUUUGACUGGGGCGGUCGCCUCCAAAA
rnacentral:rRNA from 1 species